rnacentral:rRNA from 1 species
GUUGGGAACUAGGUGUGGGUCUCAUUCCACGAGAUCCGUGCCGCAGCUAACGCAUUAAGUUCCCCGCCUGGGGAGUACGGCCGCAAGGCUAAAACUCAAAGGAAUUGACGGGGGCCCGCACAAGCGGCGGAGCAUGUGGAUUAAUUCGAUGCAACGCGAAGAACCUUACCAAGGCUUGACAUACACCGGAAACAUCCAGAGAUGGGUGCCCCGCAAGGUCGGUGUACAGGUGGUGCAUGGCUGUCGUCAG